rnacentral:rRNA from 1 species
GUGUCCUACGGGACGCAGCAGUGAGGAAUAUUGGUCAAUGGACGAAAGUCUGAACCAGCCAUGCCGCGUGCAGGAUGACGGCUCUAUGAGUUGUAAACUGCUUUUGUAUUAGGGUAAACACCCCUACGUGUAGGGGCUUGAAAGUAUAAUACGAAUAAGGAUCGGCUAACUCCGUGCCAGCAGCCGCGGGAAUACGGAGGAUCCAAGCGUUAUCCGGAUUUAUUGGGUUUAAAGGGUGCGUAGGCGGCUUGAUAAGUUAG